CCAGUACACUCCAACAUCCCCAUGAUGGAUCAGAAGGCCAUAUUCCAGCAGCCUCCAGUUGGGGUGCGCAAGAUUGUCUUGGCCACCAACAUUGCUGAGACUUCCAUCACAAUCAAUGACAUCGUGCAUGUGGUGGACAGUGGGCUGCACAAGGAAGAACGCUAUGACCUGAAGACCAAGGUGGCACCUACCUCCUGGGCCCGGCCAACCACUGGGGGAGGGACUCCGUUUCAAGGUGGUCCCCAGCCCAGAUCUACCUUAGACCUGCUUUGUGUGUCUUCAGAAGGCCACGCUUGUGGGGUCUCAGUGUUCCUGACGUGGGGGGCUGGUGAGGGUUCCUCAGGGAGUGGGGAAGCACUGAGGAAGUGGCAUCUGUGUGCUGCUUACCUGCCCCCUCCUCCAGGUGUCCUGCCUGGAGACAGUGUGGGUGUCAAGAGCCAAUGUGAUCCAGCGCCGGGGCCGGGCAGGCCGCUGCCAGUCCGGCUUUGCCUACCACUUGUUCCCUCGAAGCCGGCUGGAGAAAAUGGUCCCUUUCCAAGUACCAGAGAUCCUGCGCACACCUCUCGAGAAUCUGGUGCUGCAAGCAAAAAUCCACAUGCCUGAGAAGACGGCGGUGGAGUUCCUGUCCAAGGCUGUGGACAGUCCAAACAUCAAGGCAGUGGACGAGGCUGUGAUCUUGCUCCAGGAGAUCGGUAUGUGGGGGCUGGGCUGGGCUGGGGAGUGGCUCUCGAGGGUGGUACUGACAGCUGAGCCGUUGCAGGGGUGCUGGACCAGCGGGAGUACCUGACCACCCUGGGGCAGCGCCUGGCUCACAUCUCCACCGACCCCCGGCUGGCCAAGGCCAUUGUGUUGGCUGCCAUCUUCCGUUGCCUGCACCCACUAUUGGUGGUCGUUUCCUGCCUCACCCGGGACCCCUUCAGCAGCAGCCUACAGAACCGGGCAGAGGUGGACAAGGUGAAAGCACUGUUGAGCCAUGACAGCGGCAGUGACCACCUAGCCUUUGUGCGGGCUGUCGCCGGCUGGGAGGAGGU
rnacentral:sRNA from 1 species